AAAGAGAAGAAAGAGACGAAAUAUGGCAUUGGGCCAUUUAAAACAUUGGGCUCAAAGAAUUAUCCAACUCCGGCCCAAAGAUGUCAUCAAUUUUCAGCUGAUCAAAAUCCAGCCCAAAUAAUGAUUUCAUCUCAACCAUUCAAAGUUGACAAAAUCACAUGAGCCACACGAUCAAGACAAUCUUGAUCAAUAAGCAUAUUUAGAUAGUUAUGGGAAGAUUUCAUUAUAGAUAGGACAAAGUUUGUUAUAGUAUAGCAAAUAGAAAUUAGACAAGUAUAUAGGAUUUUUUCAUUAUUCUUUAUUUUUGAAUUCACUAUUGUUUGUAUAUAUAGGCAUGUCUUGCAAUGAAAUAAACAAGCAGAAAAUUUCCAAUUCCAGUGUUGUUAUUUCAUGGUAUCAGAGCAAAAGCUCUAAAUCAUCUCUAAUCAAACUCAUACAACACAUCAGUCAUGCCUAAUAACAGGGAAAAUAUCCCAACUAAUGUCACUGCAGGACAAACUUCCACUGGUAUUGGUGUAGAUACGUGAUUUCUGACCCUCUCGGGACGUUUGAAAAAAAAAAGUCUCAUUUUUAUAAUAUAAGUUUUGUUUUCAUUUGUGACAAAAGAAAGAAAAUUUACCAAAAAAUACAUUUUUUUAUAUUUUAGUUAAUUUCCAAUUUUAAAGAUUGUAAUAAAAGAGUAUCGAGUAACAGAGUAUUUUUAAUCUUGCUUUUUAAAUUAAGAGUAGUAUUUUUAUCACUUAAAAAUCAAAAAUAGAACCAAUAGUGUAUUGCCACUUGGCAAAAUUUCACUCUUCCACACAAAAAGCACAUUCCAUUUUGGGAAGAAAUAUUCCAUUCUUCCUUCCCAAAAUAUUUUUUUUACACAUGGGCAUUUUGGAAAAAAGGCAAAAAAUAAGCACACGCAAAAUCCUACACCUAGACACACUAUAAAUAGCUAAAAAUAGAAACCUAAUGGACCCUAGAGUCCAUCAUCAGCAGCAGCCGUAAGACUCUAACAUCAUCAAUAUCCAGCCGCAACACACUAAAAAACACACAGAAUCAGCUGCAUACAAAAAUGAAUCAACAAGUCCUUCUUCAUUUUUUCUAGACUAAGCACCUAGACUACGUACACUAAGCAACCACAAUAGCUCAUACACACAAAAACUAGCAGCUCUUAAACCUCCAUAGCCAUGAAAACAAGCUCUUAAAACUCCAUAGCCAACACCAAACACCAUAUGGAUUUCCACCGUUGGUAAUGUCUCUUGUUCGAGGUCGCCGAAGUGAUUUUCGAUUUUAAGUCGGACUCCAUUAAAGGUCCUGCUUUUGUCACGAUUUUUCUCAUAUUUUCCGAACAAAGGUUUCUGUUGAUGUACUUGGAGAUUCAUCGAAUAUAUUAAAGGCAUUUGGCUGCUGUAAAGGAAUGGCAUUCGUUAACAAUGCUUUUGAUGGAAGGGGUUAUCAAGGGUGGAAGAAGACUGUUCUCAUUGCUUUGUCCGCUAAAAACAAAACUGGAUGCAUCACAGGUGCACAUAUUGCACCAUCAACAGAUUCCAGUGAUUUUCAACUAUGGAGCAGAUGUAAUGACAUGGUUAUAUCAUGGUUGCUGAACUCUUUGUCAAGAGACAUUGUUGAUAGUGUCAUAUACUCCAGAUCUGCUAAGGAGCUUUGGACAAGUCUUGAACACAGAUUUGGCUAAUCUAAUGGGGCUAAAUUAUAUCUCUUACAAAAACAACUAAGUGGAUUAGCUCAAGGUACUUCUAAUGUUGCUGCAUAUUUCACAAAAAUGAAAAGAUUGUGGGAUGAGCUAGAUUCACUAAAUGCUAACAUUAAAUGUAGCUAUCUUGGUACUUGUGAAGGGAAAGAUAAGUUACAGAAA